rnacentral:lncRNA from 15 species
CAAUGCCAAAGCGACUGUUUACUUCUACAAAGUAUGAAUACCAAAGGAAUUAUUGAAGAACCCAUCGACCUCAGAGGCAUGGCGGAGAGACGUAAUGUGACCCACAACUACAAACUCUUGGAGCGGUGUGUGUGUGUGUGUGUGUGUGGAUGCAGAUUCAUCACACUGCUUCCGACUGUCUGGAGCUGUUUGUGGCAGAGAGGAGAAGAGAGAGAGAGAGAGAGAGAGAGAGAGAGAGAGAGAGAGAGAGAGAGACCUGCAACUUGUAUAGGCGAGAGGUGUUAUAGCUCGGAUUUACGGCCUGCCAGCAAAGCCAUGCUUUACUCAAUUUUUAGAAGGAAAUAUAUUUUGUUUUUUCAAAAGACUUUAAACCAAAGUAUAAAUAUAUAUAUAAAUGAAUGCAUAUUGUACAUACCUGUGUAA